rnacentral:rRNA from 1 species
AUACUAGGGGGCUAGCGUUAUCCGGAAUUACUGGGCGUAAAGGGUGCGUAGGUGGUUUCUUAAGUCAGAGGUGAAAGGCUACGGCUCAACCGUAGUAAGCCUUUGAAACUGGGAAACUUGAGUGCAGGAGAGGAGAGUGGAAUUCCUAGUGUAGCGGUGAAAUGCGUAGAUAUAUGGAGGAACACCAGUGGCGAAGGCGGUUGCCUGGCCUGUAACUGACGCUGAAGCACG